AGACCCUCCAGGGGCAGGGCCCAGGAUUGAAGAGGGAAGCCCUGCUCCACACGUGUUCAUCAGGAAGGACCCACAGACUGCUGCUCCUGGAGGCCUCUCGGUUUAUGGAUGUGUGUUUGUUCCAUAAACCCUCAGAGGGUCACCUGGAGACCCGCUAAAAUGCAGGUUCUUGGGCCACAUCCUAGACCUUCUGACCGACCCAGGGAGUGGGGCCCAGGAAGCUGCAUUUGACAGAUAUCCCCGUGUGAUCAUCAUGCACACAGGAGUGAGAGAACCAGUGUUCUCCCCGGGCAGAAGGGAAGCUCGUGUGCAGGACACCUCACACCUCCUUUCCCAUUCCCCUGCCAGGCUCUCCCUGCUGACAUUGUUUUUGCGGGAGAGCUGUGAAUUCUGAAGAUUAGGUUGCUUCUCACCCCAAGCUCCAGAAGUCCAGGCUGAGCCAAACCAAGCUUCAAGUUGUGCCUGGACUUGGAGAACCAGGAGGUGAGGGGACUGACUACUUGAAGAUCACAUGGAGGAGGAGUCUGAUCCAGGCCCAGUCUUGCUCUGUUGCCCAGGCUGGAAUACAGUGGCAUGAUCUCAGCUCACUGCAACCUCUGCCCCCCAGGUUCAAGCAAUUCUCAUGCAUCAGCCUCCCAAGAAGCUGGGACUGACUACAGGCAUGCACCACCACACCCAGCUAAUUUUUGUGUCUAAC
rnacentral:lncRNA from 10 species